UAGAGAGUUGAUAAAGAAUAUAAAAUGUGCGCGUUCGAGAACACUACCUCUUGACCAGUAAAUUUCUUCCAGUGAUUCACACUUUUAACUUCGACUAUUAGAAGGAUUGAACAACUGUCGUUCAUCACUUGCUGAUGAUAACAUUGUGAAGCGUUGGAUUGUUCAUUCACUAAUAGGGAACAUGAGCUGGGUUUAGACCGUCGUGAGACAAGUUAGUUUUACCCUACUAAUGAGUAUAUCAGUGAAGUACAAUCUGGCCGUUGCUAUGAUAAUUCUGUUUAGUACCAGAGGAACCACAGAUUUAGAUAAUUGAUAUAUAUGCCUGGUCGAAAGGCCAAUGAUGCGAAACUACCGUCUGAAUUAGUUGAAUUCUAUCUGUGAGGACAGUCCACGGGUGAACUCAAGGAAGCUCUAAGAAGCUUAGAAAGAGCCGAAGAUAUUCCAUCCAAUCAUCUUUUGGAAGAGUAUUCCAGAAUUUCCACGUGUAUCUUCCCUAUUGGAUAAAUGUUAAUAACGCCCCUGUGUGCGG
rnacentral:ncRNA from 1 species